rnacentral:rRNA from 1 species
UAACGGGACUGCCCGCGAAAGCGGAGGAGAGGGGACGACGUCUGGUCAGCAUGGCCCUUACGGCCUGGGCGACACACGUGCUACAAUGCCACUACAAAGCGAUGCCACCCGGCAACGGGAGCUAAUCGCAAAAGGUGGGCCCAGUUCGGAUUGGGGUCUGCAACCCGACCCCAUGAAGCCGGAAUCGCUAGUAAUCGCGGAUCAGCCAUGCCGCGGUGAAUACGUUCCCGGGCCUU